rnacentral:misc_RNA from 1 species
AAGUCGUAACAAGGUCUCCGUAGGGGAACCUGCGGAGGGAUCAUUUCCGAAGAAUAACAAAAGGGUUCUUUUUCUUAUGGAAGAAGGGCUUUUUUCAGUUGGGUGUGCUCCAUCAAACCAUGGAUGGUAAAAGAAUUGAGGGGGUGUUUGUGAUUUGGGGGAGAAGCAAUUUUUCCCCAUUUUCUUACCCCCCUUGGUUUCAAUACCAUCUAUGCCAUAAAAAAGUGUGAUGACCGUAUUCUUAACCACAUCUACAAAGACCAUCAGGUCGCUACUUGAAAAGUAAUUAAAACAACUAUCAACGGCGGAUCUCUUGGUUCGU